rnacentral:rRNA from 1 species
GACGGGGGAUGCGAGCGUCAUCCGGAAUGAUUGGGCGUAAAGGGUCCGCAGGUGGCCCGGUCAGUCCGCUGUCAAAGCCUGGGGCUCAACCCUGGAGAGGCGGCGGAGACCACCGGGCUUGAGUCCGGUAGGGGCAGAGGGAAUUCCCGGUGGAGCGGUGAAAUGCGUAGAGAUCGGGAGGAACACCAGUGGCGAAGGCGGCACUCUGGGACGGUACUGGACGCUGAGACGCGAAAGCGUGGGGAGCGAACAGG